AGAGAUGGAUUGGUGCCUUCGGGAACUCUGAGACAGGUGCUGCAUGGCUGUCGUCAGCUCGUGUUGUGAAAUGUUGGGUUAAGUCCCGCAACGAGCGCAACCCUUAUCCUUUGUUGCCAGCGGUUAGGCCGGGAACUCAAAGGAGACUGCCAGUGAUAAACUGGAGGAAGGUGGGGAUGACGUCAAGUCAUCAUGGCCCUUACGAGUAGGGCUACACACGUGCUACAAUGGCGCAUACAAAGAGAAGCGACCUCGCGAGAGCAAGCGGACCUCAUAAAGUGCGUCGUAGUCCGGAUUGGAGUCUGCAACUCGACUCCAUGAAGUCGGAAUCGCUAGUAAUCGUGGAUCAGAAUGCCACGGUGAAUACGUUCCCGGGCCUUGUACACACCGCCCGUCACACCAUGGGAGUGGGUUGCAAAAGAAGUAGGUAGCUUAACCUUCGGGAGGGCGCUUACCACUUUGUGAUUCAUGACUGGGGUGAAGUCGUAACAAGGUAGGCGUAGUGCU
rnacentral:rRNA from 1 species